AACGCGAAGAACCUUACCCAGGCUUGACAUCCUUGGAAUUUCUUCGAAAGAAGAGAGUGCUUUAUUGAGCCAAGUGACAGGUGGUGCAUGGCCGUCGUCAGCUCGUGUCGUGAGAUGUUUGGUUAAGUCCAUCAACGAGCGCAACCCUUAUGUUUAGUUGAAUUUUUCUAAACAGACCGCCCUGGUAACAGGGAGGAAGGAGGGGAUGACGUCAGGUCCGUAUCUCCCUUACGUCUGGGGCUACAGACACGCUACAAUGGCCGGUACAAAGGGCAGCCAAGUCGCGAGACGGAGCUAAUCCCAUCAAAGCCGGUCUCAGUUCGGAUAGUAGGCUGAAACUCGCCUGCUUGAAGCUGGAAUCGCUAGUAACGGUAAGUCAGCACAUUACCGUGAAUACGUUCCCGGGCCUUGUACACACCGAGACGUA
rnacentral:rRNA from 1 species